GUCUACUGCCAUACCACCCUGAACACGCCCAAUCUCAUCUGAUGUUGGAAGCUAAGCAGGGUCGGGCCUGGUUAGUACUUGGAUGGAAGAAU
rnacentral:rRNA from 1 species